UCCUGGUUAGUUCAGUUGGUAGAGCGUUCCACUGGAAAUGGCAAGGUCCCCCGAUUCAAUACCAGGACCAGGCA
rnacentral:tRNA from 1 species